UACGGAGGGUGCAAGCGUUAUCCGGAUUCACUGGGUUUAAAGGGUGCGUAGGCGGGCAGGUAAGUCAGUGGUGAAAUCUCCGAGCUUAACUCGGAAACUGCCGUUGAUACUAUUUGUCUUGAAUGUUGUGGAGGUAAGCGGAAUAUGUCAUGUAGCGGUGAAAUGCUUAGAUAUGACAUAGAACACCAACUGCGAAGGCAGCUUACUACACAAUUAUUGACGCUGAGGCACGAAAGCGUGGGGAUCAAACAGG
rnacentral:rRNA from 1 species